rnacentral:rRNA from 1 species
CCUACGGGAGGCAGCAGUAGGGAAUAUUGCUCAAUGGGGGAAACCCUGAAGCAGCAACGCCGCGUGGAGGAUGAAGGUUUUCGGAUUGUAAACUCCUUUUGUUAGAGAAGAUAAUGACGGUAUCUAACGAAUAAGCACCGGCUAAAUCCGUGCCAGCAGCCGCGGUAAUACGGAGGGUGCAAGCGUUACUCGGAAUCACUGGGCGUAAAGAGCGCGUAGGCGGGAUAGCAAGUCAGAUGUGAAAUCCUAGGGCUUAACCAUAGAACUGCAUUUGAAACUGUUAUUCUAGAGUAUGGGAGAGGUAGGUGGAAUUCUUGGUGGAGGGGUAAAAUCCGUAGAGAUCAAGAGGAAUACUCAUGGCGAAGGCGACCUGCUAGAACAUAACUGACGCUGAUGCGCGAAAGCGUGGGGAGCAAACAGGAUUAGAUACCCUUGUAGUC